UGUUAUAGUUUUAACUUAUUGACUGCAUGACCCAGUGGUUUGAAUUGUUUUUAGUUCAAGUCAUUGGUAAAAACUAGGCUUAAAAAGAUGAGCUACUAUUUAAAGUGAGCUGCCCUGCCGAAUUAGUUCUCUGUGGCAGUUAAAUCUUUUUUCCAGAGUUGGGGCAUCACCCCCCAAACAAAACUAUGCAUGUAGAGGACAAGAUUUAAUUUCUUCCCUCCUCUUGCCCAGUAGCCACAUCUGGUUUACUCUGGCAGCGUCUACUAAGAAAUUCAGCACCUGCAUAUCUCAGUGACAAGAGGUCACUUACAGAUUAUCUUUCCCGUGAGUCUCUAGAUCUGUGAGUUGAACAGAUUUCUUGAUGCAGAUUGACCUUUAAUGCAAAAACUAUAUUAUCUUCAAAUGACUUUUUGUCUUAGUGUGCUUUAAGAGGUGAUAGGGUAAUUCUGUGUUUUCUGAUGAGAAGAUUGAUAGGAGCUGAAUCCUAUGCUUCCAAACAACUGAAUGUAAAACACCCCUAGCCAGCUGUUGAAUUCCAUGCCCCUGUUUACUUCCAGUAUUUUCCUGCAAAAAUAGAGAAAAAUGUUGAUGACUGUUUCAAAUUCUCUCAGGAGCUCUAAUGUUCCAGGAGGCUGGUGGUUCCAGCUGUGUUUUGGUGGCAGUGUUCUCAAAACCCCUCAGAAUAGUAGAGUCACUGUUUGCUUCAUCCAGUGUGGUUUUCUAUAGGAAGAGAGAAGGCACAGACGAUCAAGGCUACAGAAUAGAGAAUUACCUGUACUGCUGGCCAUUUUAGAACACCAAAACUUGGGACAAAAUACUUCCUAACCUCUUAAACAGUUGUGCUAUCUGUAAUUAGUUUUAUUUUUGUCCUUUUAGUAAGCUCAGCAACUUUACCUUGUUUACAAAUGUAUUUACACCAUUUGCUUCAGGCUAUGGAGCACUAUUGUUUCCCUCUUUUUACUAUUUAUAGGAUUCCUUUUUCACAACACUUUUAAUAAAAACAAACUGUAGAAAUAAACACGUUAAAAUCUGCCCAGCUGUUGUCUAAGCCCUCUUGAUUGACUUGCCCAAAUGGCAAUCCAGUUCUAAGGUCUGCAAUAAGGGGAGAUUUGCUAUUGGCGGAAAGUGUUGACCCUGUAGAGAAACAGUAUGUGCCUUUGCCUCUUUGUGCACACUGGGUUACUAUGGCCCAGAGUGAAGGAAUGUUUGUUCCCAAUUUUUUAAAUAGAAUAAAAAAGCAAAUUCUUGAUGAUUUUUUUAAAAAACAAAAUACAAGAUGCUUAUUCAAUGCGAAAUGCCACUCUUCUAAAACCUGAGACAGGAUUAUUGACGUUUUAUGGUAGCUUCACAUUCUGGUAUAGUUUAAUAUGCCUUGGGGGCAGUUUGAAGCAGAUCUUAAUGCUAUUCGGUUUAAAAAUGAAUCCUAGAUAUGCAAAUGAUGAUUUUCUUAGAAAAAUGUUCACAAAAUGAAUUUAUUUAAUAACAGAGUAAUGAAUGUGUAUGGUUAUCAGUCACAUGCCUAUUCUGAAUUAAUAGCAAAAAGUUAAUUGACCUAGAUUGUUGAUAGUGCUGUAUAUGCUAUAUAAUACAACCUGGAGUACAUUAAACCGACAAACUCAUACUGGCAGUAGGACAGUAAAAAAGGAGUAAUUGUUUUUCCAAACUUUAAAGUUCUCAAGUACAAACAGAUUGAGUGAAAAAAACUAAGGUGCUUUUCAAAAGAAUAGCUGAAUUGUUACAGGCCAAAAUAGCAAUAUGCUACUCUCUUAAUUUAGUUCAAUAAGACCAGUGAAACUUUGGGUUCGCUAAUAAAUUCUGAGUAAAUUAAUGAUGAAAACAUAACUUGUUUCAGUGAGCCACUAAGGCAAGAAUAUUCUUCAUACAAAUACAAAAUGUGGUGCAACAAACCUGGCACCUCUUUGCAUAAACUGUUCAUCAUGACUUAAAGACUUAAUGUGCUGCUGUUGUAUUUCCAUAUAUUCCUGCAAUGUAGACUAUAUUUUAGUAACAACUGUGGAAAAAACUUGUCUUCCUCUACACAGACUAAUGAGCACAAUGAUACCACUUUUCUGUUGAAUAACAAUCGCAAUAAUUGCCUCUCAUGAGUGAGAAGUUUGUCUCAGUAUUUCUAAAGCUUUUUAAUUCUCUGGUUAUAUCAAAAGCCAGUUAUAUUAAUGGAGAGUAUUGUAUACCUACCUACUACUUUGAGAACUGAUUUUUUUUUUUUACAAAGACUGAUUUGCAUGGAUUGAGUUACACUAACUGCUGUUCAUUAAUGAAGAUUGUGGGACCGUUUUAAAGAAAUACUUGUCAACAGGAGUGGGUCCUCUGAACUUUUAAGACCAGUAGCCCUUAAGUUCCUCCAAAUCCACACCCUUUAUUCCUCCUUUUGCAUUGUCCUCUUGUAGGUGCCUCAGCCUUGGCAUCCCAGGAAAACUGUUACUGCUCAUCUAAUCCUAAUGAUGGUAUCUUGUGCCCUAAUUCUACUGCUUAGCAAAGAAGCAGUAUGUCUUUAAUAAAGGGUUCAGCCCAUUACUGUUCAACUCUAACCUGAGGCAGUACCACUCCUGUAACCCUCCUAUUCUGAAUUCUGAACUCCAGGUUACAAACAAGCGAACCGCUGAUCCUUUCAGUGUAAUGAAGCAUCUACUGUCAAGGAAAUCGUUUGUUAAGCCCCAUAUACAUACUGAAUUUUCAGAUCCAGAGAUGUUUACAUUUCUGGAUUAAAGUCAGUGUACUUUCAGAAAAUAAAGGCAUGUUUGAAAUUGUUUAGAUGUAAAUCUUAUUUGACUAUUACAAAAUGAAGAAGAAAAAUACUAUAACGUUUACAUUUUAAUUACUAUUAAAGCUUUAGUCUAUACAGUAGGAUUAUGUCGUACUGAAAACCGGUGGCUUUCUACAGAUUCUAAAGCCCAAGUAAUAAUAUACAUUUAGUCUAUUUCCUUGAGACAGCUUUGAAACAAUCUGAUUGAAAACACAUCUGAAACAACUGUCUAAUCAUAUUUUGCUAUAACAGAAAAUAGAUCCUUUUAUAUUUAACUUAAGGAAAAUACACUAGUGCAAGAAAGCAAAAAAUUUUGUGAAGGAAGGAAUCUUUGGACUUAAAUAUUUCUUUACUGUUUCUGUAAACUUUUUAAAAAUAUUUUAUUUAUUUAUUCAUGAGAGACACAGAGUGAGAGGGAGAGAGGCAGAGACAUAGGCAGAGAGAGAAGCAGGCCCCAUGUGGGGAGCCCGAUGUGGGACUCGAUCCUGGGACUGCGGGAUCACGACCUGAGCUGAAGGCAAAUGCUCAACUGCUGAGCCACCCAGGUGUCCCUUGUGUAAACUUUAAUUGCAGUUUGGACUGGCAGCAUCUUAGGUACUUGAUGAUGCUGACCAUUCAUUCAUAGUGUGUGUGUGUGUGUGUGUGUGACAGUUAAAAUAUCACUACAGCCAUUUUUAAUAUAUAUCAAACACUUAGGUUUAAUUUCAUUAACAGUUGAUCUUUAAAUACACUGAUUCAUGAAUAAGUGAAAACCUUACUUAUAGGUUUAAUAGACCUAUUUUUAAUAUGCAGUGAACCAUCACAGAUGCAUUACGAUCUUUUUUGUUUUGUUUUUUGCAUUAUGAUCUUCAAGCAGUUACUCUCCAGAAGUUUAAUCAGAAUCCCUAGUAACAGCUGUACCAUCAGAAAUAUUAUUCGAUAAAGCAUAUUGAAUGUAAGAAGGAGCAGACUUAGCUUUAUAUGCUUAAUUUCUUGAGCAAAGUAAAAAGUUAGACACCUGCAUUAAAAUACCCUGAAUGUUUCAAAGCUGAGAGUAAAAUCUGAUUAAAGAUUUACCUAACAUGUUAAAGUUAAGUAAAAGCCACCAAGUUGUCUAUGAAGAAACACCAAGAUGUGUUUCUUAUGGUAUGUUAUGCCACUUCACCAACCCCACAUCAAGGUGAAAAUGAUUAUGUAACAGAUUUGACUAUUUUAUCAAAAUAUUCUUACUCUUUUUAAAACGACUUCUUAAAAGCCAUUUUUAAGUCCUGCUUUGUACACGGUUGUUUACAUUAUCUUGAUUAAAGGUGUUCUGAAAUUUAAA
rnacentral:lncRNA from 1 species